CUGGAAAAGUGGAAAACUGAAAACCUAAGUGGCGAUUCAUUAUUCCAGAAAAUUCAUUAUUCAUUAUUCCAAUUCCCUAAAGGCCUAAAGGCGGUUCAUUGUUCCAGAAAAUUGAGGACUAUGAGGAGCCUAAAGGAUGGAGAAUGAUCCCCUGUUCACAGGAAACAAUCAGGAAGGAGAAGAAGCGAUUGAUCUUACUGUACCUAGAACAGAUGAUGAAAUAGAGGAUGACCCAAAUCCUUUUGCAAAGAAAAAAGACUUCAUGGGUAUGGAGACACCUUGAAUUGGUGACAAAUCCAACCGGAAUUUCAAAGGUAAAGUGUAUUCAUGGUAGCACUUUUCUUAAGUACACAAAGGGUGGUCCUACAACUACAUAUAAGAGGCAUUUGUUGUCUUGUUCUAUGCGUAAAGUGAAUGGGCAACAAAAAUUGGGUUUCCGAAUUUCUACUCCCCAAUCAGAAAAUCUACAGAGUCUUGAAAAUUGGAAAUAUGACCAUGCUAAAAUUAGAAAGCUUAUGGCUCACAUGGUUGUUGUUCAUGAGUUACCGUUUAUGUUUGCAGAAUAUGAGAUUUUUAAUAUGUUAAUGAAAGCUGCUGCCCCGGAAUUUGAAAAGGUCUGCCGUAAUACUAUAAAAAAUGAUUGUAUGACUAGUUAUGAUAUUGAAAAGAAGAGAACUAGGGGAUUGUUAAAACAAGCAAAUCGGGUUUGUAUUACUACUGAUAUUUGGAGGUCAGAUCCACAAAAGAUAGAGUAUAUGACAAUAACUUGCCACUUCGUCAUUGACUAUCGAUUAUACAAAAGUGUCAUUAACUUUGUUGAUAUUCCACCACCUCACUCUAGAGUUAUUGUUCAUGAUGCUUUAUAGUUUAGUUGAGUGGGGAAUCGAGAGUAAAGUAGCUAGUAUAACGGUGGAUAAUGCAACUUAUAAUGACGUAGUGGUAAGGACAUUGAAAGACAGCAUAUCUUGCCAAGCAAUUUUACCUUAUGGUGGAAAGUUAUUUCAUGUUCGUUGUUGUGCUCAUAUCCUUAACAUUUUGGUGCAUGAUGGAUUAGAAGAUAUCAAGGGUGUAAUUUUUAAGGUGAGGGAAAGUGUUAAGCAUGUUACGUUAUCCAUCGCUCGACUUAACAUCUUUAGUGAUAUAUGUCAACAACUAAAGUUACCUAGUAGAAGACUAGUUCUUGAUUGUUGUACUAGGUGGAAUGCAACACCUACCACAUGUUAUCCGUUGCAUUAGAGUUUAAGGCUGCAUUUCCAAGGUACAAGAAUAGAGAGCCAAGUUACAAUCUCCUGCCAUCUGAAGAAGAGUGGAAGCAAGUUGAAGCUGUUUGCACUUUCUUAUCACUUUUUAAUGAAGCUACAAAAAUAAUAUCAGGUAGUGAGUUUCCAACUUCAAACUUGUUUUUGCCAGAGCUUACCAAUAUUAAAGAGGCUUUGGAAAACCAAGUUGCAAGAGACUUUGAUUUUAUGAGGGAAAUGGCUCAAAGAAUGAAGGUUAAGUUUGAUAAAUAUUGGGAAAAUUGUAAUUUGCUUAUAUCUGUUGCUGCUGCUUUGGAUCCUAGAAACAAGUUAAAAUUGAUAGAGUGGUCUUUCUCUACACUUUACUCGAGGAUGAGACAGUAAUACAUACAAAAUAUGUGCGAGACACUUUAUAUGAUAUUUACUUGGAGUAUGCUGAAGCCCAUGCUUUAGACAAUGCUCAAAAAGGUGCUCAAGAAAGUGAUGAAAAUGCUAUAAAAGUAGGAUCUUGUAGCACUGGAAAAAACAAGAUUUUCCAAAAGGGUAGGAAGAAAUUUGAUAUCUACAUUAGGAGUGGCUAUAGCUCAUUUGAGAGCGUAAAAUCAUAGCUUGAUGUCUAUUUAGAAGAAGGUGUUGUCAUUUGUGAAUGUGAUGAAGAGUCUGAGGCUUUUGAUACAUUACAAUGGUGGAAGGCUAACAAAUUGAAGUUUCGCAUUUUAUCAAAGAUGGCAUGUGACAUUCUUGCUAUUCCUGUUACGUCGGUUGCUUCUGAAGCCACCUUUAGCGCUGGUGGGCGGGUCAUAGAUUCUUAUAUAGCAUACCUAGGAACAUCAACUGUCCAGAUGCUAAUGUGCACUGAAGAUUGGAUAAGGAGCUUUUAUGGAAUCAAAAGGAAACAAAAGGUCAAUGAAGAGAUCAAGAUUAUCGAUCUACCUUAGCUUUAGAGUGAUUGUUAACAAUGGAGAUUAUAAGAAGUAAGGGACGUAGCAAUAAAGUUAUUACGGAACUAUGAUGUCGCUCGAGGAGCCGAGUAUUCUGUAGGACAUAAUUUAAGUUUUU